CGGAGGAAAAGAAACUAACAAGGAUUCCCCUAGUAACGGCGAGUGAAGCGGGAUGAGCUCAAAUUUAAAAUCUGGCGGCCUCAGGUCGUCCGAGUUGUAGUCUAGAGAAUCGUUUUCCGCGUUGGCCUGUGUACAAGUCCCUUGGAACAGGGCGUCAUAGAGGGUGAGAAUCCCGUCCUUGACACAGACUACCAAUGCUUUGUGAUGCGAUCUCGAAGAGUCGAGUUGUUUGGGAAUGCAGCUCAAAAUGGGUGGUAAAUUCCAUCUAAAGCUAAAUAUUGGCGAGAGACCGAUAGCGAACAAGUACCGUGAGGGAAAGAUGAAAAGCACUUUGGAAAGAGAGUUAAACAGUACGUGAAAUUGUUAAAAGGGAAACGAUUGAAGUCAGUCAUGCUUUCCGAGACUCAGCCGAUUCUGUCGGUGUACUUCUCGGUUGGCAGGCCAGCAUCAGUUUCGAUCUGUGGAAAAGGUUGGAGGGAACGUGGCAUCCUCGGAUGUGUUAUAGCCCUUCUUCGAAUACAUAGAGCGGGACUGAGGAACGCAGCGCGCCUUUUAUUAGGUUGGCCCUCGGGUACAUACGCGCUUAGGAUGCUGGCAUAAUGGCUUUAAACGACCCGUCU
rnacentral:rRNA from 1 species